UGCAGCCAUUUUCAACCCACUGCUGCACUGUGAAUGGACAGGACUCUGGAGAAGAAAUGAAUUUUGAAAGGUGUUGGACUACAGUGCUUUUAGUUUGAUAGCAGUGAUGGAAGGUUUGAGAUGAGGAGUUCUGUCAACAACUCCACAAAACUACCAUGGCAACAAGUGCAGAAAUUAUUACAUGGCUGUAUUGACCACUUCGCCUCUGUGAAUGAAAGGAGAGAUGACUAUAGCGUAAAAGUGCGCCUCUCGCUCCCUCCAUGUGCUCAAAUCACCAUCUGGGAAAGCCUGAUAAGCUCAGAGGCAGACACCAGCAUUUGGGCGUUGAGUUGAAGAGCUGCCUUUAGACAGCCGAUGAAGAGAGACAGGAAAUGUGGGAGAUAGAGAGGAGGGUGACAUGCAGCCUAAGCCGCUGCGGUAAGGACUCAGCCUUGUACAUGGACGCAUGCUCUACCAGCAAUGUGCCAGGAGGAGUCUUGAAGCAGACAUUUUGCCAAAAUAAAGACUCGGAGGAUACAAAUAGAAUGCACUUUUGUAAUUCUGAAUGUAAUCAUCGG